CGUGUGUGUAAUAUUGUAAACCAAACCUCAUAGAAAAAUGUGGGUAUUUUUGAAAAGAAUGGACUUAAAAUUAGCUAUGAAACCUAUUUUUCUACCCACAGGAAAGACAUGGGCAUCUAGAACUUUGCCUGAGGAUGAAACAAUGGAUGACUGCUAAGGAACACAUCUAAUACAACUAAAGAUUACCUACAAAAAGACACUCACCAUAGGCGUCUUCAUCUGGAUCGCCAGAAUAAUACUGCAGCACGGUGCGGUAGACAAUGUACCCAAGCUUCUUGUACAUGGUGAUGGCAACAAGGUUGCUCACACGCACAAACAGGUCAACAAAGUAACACCGUUUCCUGUGUGAUGAACAGAAAGGUUGACAUAGGCAAGAAAUAUGACAGAAACAAGAAUCAGAUUUGGGUUGAAAUGAAUAAUAAAGACGGGAGAAGGGUGCGCACACAUUGGACAGGGCUGGGGCAGCCUAGACCAAUAUAUACAGAUUUUUUUCAAAUGGUUGACUAUAACUAUGCAACUAUAUUCAAGUAAUACAUAUUAGUGUUAGUUUGCCAAAGAAUGUCUUUUACAGAUCGCCAAACCCUGUGAAUUUACCAGAAAAAUAAUCUUUAUUUUUUCCAAUUCCUGUCUUAAGUUGUAAUGUUACCAAUGAUGUUCCUAUUUCAGCCUUACAUUGCUUUGUGUUAUACUAUUAGGAGCAUUAUUAAUGAAAGCACAUCUAUUGGACAGGGGGUUAAAAACUUGACUAUUCAAUAUUUCAGAUAUUUGUUGGGAUAUUUAAAAUAUCUCUGUGGCACACAACUCUACAACCAUUUCUUAAUAUAAUGGCAAAAUGUGACAUUCACCAGUAAAUUUUUAU